rnacentral:tRNA from 1 species
GGCUUCGUGGCCCAAUGGCAAGGCGUCUGACUACGAUCAGAACUUGAAAACAAGUUCACACGCGCAAUCAGGAGAUUCUGGGUUCGACCCCCAGCGAGGUCA